AUGAGAAUAUUCUCAUGUCUGAUUUUGUACUAAUUAGGACAGAUAAAAUAUUCACUAUAAAAAGACCAUGUGUUUCCCCAGACCUUCUUCUUUACCCACCUAGGUCUAGUUUUAGAAGUGGUGGUGAUAAAU